rnacentral:lncRNA from 1 species
GGAUCCAUGUGCUUCAUAGAAAGGAAUGAGUGACAGAGUACUGAUCAGGAGCUGAAGGUUCUCCUUAAUGCUAAGGUUUUCCUUCACGGUAAUGAUGGGGAAGCUGGUGCCAAGGUGCUGAUUGAGGAUUCGAAAUAUUGUAUUGGUGGAAGAGACAUAUAUGUAUACGAAAUCAUACAGAGUCUGGCUGGCUGUGAGCACCCUUUGUUUAUCUCUCUCUGCACCAAAGAUGGACAACAUUUCCAGAGAAGAGAUUUGACACUGAAAAACAAAUCAAAAGACACAGGCAGGCAACAGGACCCAACUGAAGCAACAAUCCCUGCAGACCUAGGUCAUCACAUUCCACCAGAAACAGCCAGAAAAAGCCAGUGAAAAGAGGAUUCACUGUUCUGCAUACCUGCAGCUGAUUACAGAGCUCUGACUGAAAAGCAGGUAGGUAGCCUUUAUGAUUUGCUGUGUAGAAUCCCUUUAAAAUAUUUAUGCUGGGCUGCAGAGGCUAAUUUAUAGUAUGCACAAAGAUUUAAAUAAAUAUAUAUGGACAACUUGGCUAUUUGACUGU